GAUGAACGCUGGCGGCGUGCCUAAUACAUGCAAGUCGAGCGAACAGACGAGGAGCUUGCUCCUCUGACGUUAGCGGCGGACGGGUGAGUAACACGUGGAUAACCUACCUAUAAGACUGGGAUCACUUCGGGAAACCGGAGCUAAUACCGGAUAAUAUAUUGAACCGCAUGGUUCAAUAGUGAAAGACGGUUUUGCUGUCACUUAUAGAUGGAUCCGCGCCGCAUUAGCUAGUUGGUAAGGUAACGGCUUACCAAGGCAACGAUGCGUAGCCGACCUGAGAGGGUGAUCGGCCACACUGGAACUGAGACACGGCCCAGACUCCUACGGGAGGCAGCAGUAGGGAAUCUUCCGCAAUGGGCGAAAGCCUGACGGAGCAACGCCGCGUGAGUGAUGAAGGUCUUCGGAUCGUAAAACUCUGUUAUUAGGGAAGAACAAAUGUGUAAGUAACUAUGCACGUCUUGACGGUACCUAAUCAGAAAGCCACGGCUAACUACGUG
rnacentral:rRNA from 1 species